GUCAGGAUGGCCGAGCGGUCCAAGGCGCUGCGUUCAGGUCGCAGUCCGUCUUCCGGGCGUGGUUCGAAUCCCACUUCUGACA
rnacentral:tRNA from 1 species